GAGAAAGAGAAUUCUCUAAGCUUCCACCAACCUUCACUCUCCAUUCUUCUUCCUUCAUCGUUCAUCUCCAUCGGGUCCUUUGUUUCUUUGGCUCUUCCUUUCUUUUUCUUCUCCACUUGAUGUUCUGUUACAGCACCGAAAAAAAAUGAAAACAAAAAAAAAACCACACACUGUUGCUGAAAACUUGAGGGAACCGUGAUCUCCUCCUCCUUUCUUUCUGUGCGUGAAUGUUGAGUAGUGGAUUUGUCAUUAUUGAAGGGGUUCCAGAAGAGGAGAAGCUAAAUUGAAGUUGAGCAAAGAGAAUUUUUAGAAUUUGGCAACAUACCAGAUAGUAGAAGUGAACCUGCUCUUCAUUUGAUCUCGUGGGACUCCUUGAAACAAGAAGUAUUUGUUGCUCCGUCCAAAUUGUGGAUUAAUGUAAAUAUUUAAGUAUCUUAGUUUUGUUCUAGAUUCGCUCCACGAAUCUUAUAGGUAGGAUCCUUGAUUGAAUUAUUCUGGGAUUGUACAUAUAUAUUGUAUUGGAGUAGAAUUUCAAAUGUUGUAUGGGUAUUCUUUUGGUAGGUUGUAAA